AUUGUAGGGACACAGUCAGUUAACAGGAAGUUAGCUGCAACGGAAUGACAAUGGACACCUUUAGGAUAAAGGGUUGGAUUAGCAUCAGGAUGAUGUAAAGGACACCGCUCACGGAACAAGUGAUGUGCGCUAACUAGGAUUGUUAGCUUUCAGGAUGAUUGGACACCGCUAGGACGGCGAAGUAAAGGAAAGAGCUGAAGGAUUACAGCCACUAUUAUGGAUGAUGCAUGGAGCAUUAAUUAGUAGCCGGACUGCUGCGAGUAAGACCCUAGCCCUGACACUUCGGUGUCGGGGCUUUUCUUUAUC
rnacentral:other from 1 species